UACCUAUCAUUUAUUUUGAUUUAAGUUAUUUUAGCUUAUCCAACUGAUAAAUUUAAUGAAGAAAAAACUUUAAAUGCCACCUUUGUGAUUUCAUACUUUUUUUUUAUUUUGAUGCCUUAUGAUUUAAAAUAUAUCACUUUAGUAUUUUAUGAUUUUAUCUUUCUCUUUGCAUUAUCUGUUAUAUUAAUUUUUUCGAUAAAUCAGUAAUAAAAGUAAAACUACAGAAUAUUAAAAUAAAAUUUUGGUAAACUACAUGGUAUUUAAGUGAAUAUUCGAUUAAUCAUAGGUUGGGUAGCUAAAAUUUUUUAUAUAUAAUUUUAUAAAGAGUUAACGAAAGUAUUGACGAAAAGAGAAAAAUAAAAUCACAGAAUAGUAAAAUGAUAUAGUACUUUAAACUGUAGAGUACUAAAGAAUCCUCAGUAAUUUUCUCAAAUUUUUUCGCUCUAAUAAUUUUUGAGCCAAAUAAAGUGUGAAUUUAUUUACUAAAAUUAGGUUUUAUUUAACUUAGGAUCUAUUUAUUACGUAAAAAUAUGCAACAAAUUUGCAAAAAAAAUAUAUUUUUUAAUUACAGUGCUCAUUGCCCGGAAUAUAUUUUGCCCAGC
rnacentral:lncRNA from 1 species